AUGAAUGUAUAAACAAUGCCUUGAAUGUUUAACCGUUUAAUUUUUGAGUGUAUGCCAUAGGGUUUGAGGUUUCUGAAACCAUACUGUUAUCCAUGAAAAAAAAUGCUUAUCGUGUUUCACUAACCCUUUUGUUGAGUUUUUGUGAGGGCUCACAGACUCUUGCAGAGAUGGUUUGCGUGGUUUUCCCACUUUAUUUCUGGGAUACCCCCUGGAGG
rnacentral:lncRNA from 1 species